UGCGAUCUUAUUUUGUUUCAGUUUUUUGCUAGCUUUAACAUUGGCCUUUGUUCAAAUCCUAUUCAGGUUGAACCAUAGAAAGCGAGCACUCAAAGCUACAGAGGCAACCAGUCCAAAGGAAUAAGUAAGGUAAUGUGUUUCCAGUAUUCCUAAAAUAAAUGAAGUAAUGGUGUGAUUAACACUAACAUUGAUGUUCCCCCUCUUCUAUAUAAAAUGAUACGCACACUUGUGCGUAUUCGAGGAAAAAAACCAGUAACAUUGAUGGAUCAGUCGUUUCUGUUGAAAAAAUCAUCAGACUCUGUUAAGCCAGAUUCCAUUCAUUUUGCUUUUUAGCUCUGCAAACUGUGCAUCUUGACUGUUUAGCACAUCAUAUGGUUAUGUAAAGUGUCGCUGCAAAGAAAUGUCGCCGGUAACAAUGAUUAAAGUUCCAGUUCCCUGAUAGUGUAUCUUACCACAUUCAGUUUUGGUAGCUAUAAUGGGAGAAAUGGAGUCCGAGGAUGGUAUGGGUUGUGCAUUAUUCCCUUUCCCACUAAUGAUUUUGCCAGUCAAACUUGGGAUGUGAUCAAGAAGGUGGGGAAGCAACAUAGUUUUAGUGGCGGUGCUAUUGUUAAGUGCACCGGAAUUUAGCAACAAAAAUAAUGCAGGAACAGUUUGAAUAUCUUAGUUCGCACUUCUGGGCAGUGAGUCCGGCACUUGGACGGGACUCCAAACUUCAAAUUCUCAUAGCUCCAAAUUAUUGGACACAACCUGAUUUAUAAGUUAUCUUAAAUUCCAAGUUAUGUGAUGUAGACAAUCUAAAAUCAUUACUUCUUUCGUAGGGAACAUAUAUUGGUGUUUGAUGAGGCAGAUCAAAUUCGUCAUCGUGAUUUGCAAUCCCAUGUUGACUAUCAUUUCUCUGAUUCCCAAAGUUAGACCAGCUUUACAGUUUUUUGUUACAUAGACAAAGUCACUUAAGAAACUAGCAAGCGUUAGCUUGAAGAUUUCUGACCAUUUAAGUGUGCAUGAACAUGCUACCAUGGCCACCCCACAUACCCUUGAAGCGGUGUGCCAUGAUCGUCCUCUUGAACUAUAUGCUUUGGAAUUUUAUCAGAAGGCAUCUGAAGUAAAAAUAGUAGGAAGGCUCGAACUUGCCCAUCUUCUAAUUUAGUGUUGCUCACAUUUAGUCUUAUCCACGACAGAUUACCACACGAAAUGUUUAAGUUGGACAAAUAACACAAUGGGUAUCAUCAUUUAGCCUACAAUUUUGUAUCUUCUCCUGCAAUUUUAGUGUGCGAGUUUAGUAUCAUAUCCAGAUUAUUUGACAAAUUAUCUAGGGAUCUGGAGAUAUCAUUUAGCUCUUAAAACAGGUGAUUAGAACUUACACCAAACCUUUCUUUGUUGAUGUUGUUAUUCUUGCUUGUUGGCACAUUUGGAAACAAAGAACUGGUUUCAUUCUCAAGGACUAGGGUUCUUCAGUAGUAGUCAUCUAAAUAUUACUCCCUCCGGUCCUAAAUAUAAGUCUUUUUAGAUAUUCCAGUAUGGACUAUAUACGGAGCAAAAUGAGUGAAUCUACACUCUAAAGUAUGUCUACAUACAUCUGUAUGUAGUACUUAUUGAAAUCUCUAAAAAGACUUAUAUUUAGAAAUGGAGGGAGUAGUUUGUAAAAAAAUCUGGGUGGUGAAGUCGUGAAGAUACAUGCCUCCCUGUUGUCAUCUUUUAAAUAUUUUUUGCAGUAGUCAUCAUCUAAAUAUUAUUUUGUAAAUUUUUGUCAUCAUUUUAAACACGAAGCCCGGUGGGGGUAUUUUCUCCGUAGUUCACUUAUUAUUUUUUCAUGGCUAUGCUGAGUGCAGCACUGCACUCAAUUUUGAAAUAUUUAAUGUGAAAACAUAUUGUAUUUGGGUUGGCGCCAUCAUUCUAUGGAAUUGUUUACAAAGACAUGAUGUUGGAUAAUGUGGAAACGGAUUGCUGCCCUGACUUGCAUUGGCAAAUUGCAAAACUUCAAAACAGUAGACAGGAAGCAACAAAAUAGUUGUUGGUCUGACAAAAUUAAUAAAAAUUGAGAGUAGUGCUGCUGUUAGUCUACCAUUCAAGGGCAUGAUCAUAACCAAUGUACUGUUAAUAGGCUUGUAAAUCAUUUUUAUUUAUUAUUUUGUAUUAGUCGAGAGUUCGAGACAUGCAUUGCACAAGAAGACAAGACAACAUGGUGUAUAUAUAAGUAUGCAUCAAAUGUUAAUAUCUACAAUAUGCUGAUUGCUUUUCCAUCUUUGGGGUGCUAUUGUUGUCUUAGGACUUUGAUAUGAACCUCUGACUCUUUUUUACCGCUUUCUGCUUUGAGUCAGGUCAUGCCAGUUCAUUCAACUGUUCAAGCUCAACUAAGUGUUGCAUUGAAAUUUGCAAGUAACCUUGCUUCAACAUAAGAGAAUUGGGUGAUGGACGUGAUAUCAACAUGGUUAUGGACUACCAUGUAUGUUCAUAAAUAUGUACACCCUUUGGGGUCGGGCCCGCCGCCAUCGCGGACUAGGCCGGCGACAGCGGCGGUAGGAGGGGAGAUGGGAGGGACCUGUCGGCACAAGGGUUGGUGUCCCCUGGCGUCGCCCAAGGGAGGCGACGCGAGGGGGUAAGGAGACACAACUUGGAACAUGGUAAUUUUUGUUUAGGCUCUUACCUUUUGUAUUUGCACAAUGGUUGAUUUCCGUUUGAAAUGUUCAGGUACAUAAAGUUAGAGUAGUGGAGUAAAGCUUAAGAUUUUUUUUGUAUGAUUAAUUCCUGAGAUGUGAAAGCUUAUACAUGGAAUAACUCGGUUUCUUGAUCUGUACAUAAAAUAUGUGUGAUAUUUGAUUCAAGAGGAGUAUUGAUUCAUGAAGAUAAGACAUGCAUUGCGCAAGAAGACAAGACAACAUGGUGUAUAUAUAAGUAUGCAUCAAAUAUUCAUAUGUAC
rnacentral:lncRNA from 1 species